CUCUGAAUAUUCUCACUGUUCUGAUUUUGUAAUAAUCCGGACAGGCUAAAUUUUCCCUAUAUCAAGAUCAUGCAUGGGUCUCCAUACUUAGUUCUCUCGCUAGGUCUGGUUUUAUAAAUGCUGGUGAUAAAC
ensembl:snoRNA SNORA72 Small nucleolar RNA SNORA72